rnacentral:rRNA from 1 species
AGCCCUUGACAUGGACGUCGCGACUUCAGAGAUGAAGUUUUCGGUUCGGCCGGACGUUACACAGGUGCUGCAUGGCUGUCGUCAGCUCGUGUCGUGAGAUGUUGGGUUAAGUCCCGCAACGAGCGCAACCCUCAUCCUUAGUUGCCAUCAGUUCGGCUGGGCACUCUAGGGAAACUGCCGGUGAUAAACCGGAGGAAGGCGGGGACGACGUCAAGUCAUCAUGGCCCUUAUGGGAUGGGCUACACACGUGCUACAAUGGGGGGUACAAAGAGCAGCCAACUGGCAACAGUGCGCGAAUCUCAUAAAACCUCUCGUAGUCCGGAUCGGAGUCUGCAACUCGACUCCGUGAAGUCGGAAUCGCUAGUAAUCGUGAAUCAGAAUGUCACGGUGAAUACGUUCCCGGGCCU